ensembl:lncRNA
CCCUCAGCCUGUAUCCCCUCAGCCUGUAUCCCCUCGGCCUGUAUCCCCCCAGCCAGCCCACCAGCCUGUAUCCCUCCAGCCAGCCCAUCAGCCUGUUUCUCCACAGCCAGCCCAUCAGCCUGUUUCUCCACAGCCAGCCCAUCAGCCUGUUUCUCCACAGCCAGCCCAUCAGCCUGUUUCUCCACAGCCAGCCCAUCAGCCUGUAUUUCCACAGCCAGCCCAUCAGCCUGUAUCCCCCCAGCCAGCCCACCAGCCUGUAUCUCCACAGCCAACCCCCAGGCCUCCCAGUCUGUAUCCCCCCAGCCAGCCCGCCAGCCUGUAUCCCCCCCAGCCAGCCCACCAGCCUGUAUCCCCCCCAGCCAGCCCAUCAGCCUGUAUCCCUCCAGCCAGCCCAUCAGCCUGUAUCCCUCCAGCCAGCCCAUCAGCCUGUAUCCCCACAGCCAGCCCAUCAGCCUGUAUCCCCCCAGCCAGCCCAUCAGCCUGUAUUCCCUCCAGCCAGCCCGUCAGCCUGUAUCCCUCCAGCCAGCCCGUCAGCCUGUAUCCCCCCAGCUUGUAUCCCCUCAGCCUGUAUCCCCCCAGCCAGCCCGUCAGCCUGUAUCCCUCCAGCCAGCCCAUCAGCCUGUAUCCCGUCAGCCUGUAUCCCCUCAGCCUGUAUCCCCUCAGCCUGUAUCCCCUCAGCCUGUAUCCCCCCAGCUAGACCACCACCCUGUAUCCCCCCAGCCAGCCCACCAGCCUGUAUCCCCCCAGCCAGCCCAUCAGCCUGUAUCCCUCCAGACAGCCCAUCAGCCUGUAUCCCUCCAGACAGCCCAUCAGCCUGUAUCCCUCCAGACAGCCCAUCAGCCUGUAUCCCUCCAGACAGCCCAUCAGCCUGUAUCCCUCCAGACAGCCCAUCAGCCUGUAUCCCUCCAGACAGCCCAUCAGCCUGUAUCCCUCCAGACAGCCCAUCAGCCUGUAUCCCUCCAGACAGCCCAUCAGCCUGUAUCCCUCCAGACAGCCCAUCAGCCUGUAUCCCUCCAGACAGCCCAUCAGCCUGUAUCCCCACAGCCAGCCCAUCAGCCUGUAUCCCCCCCAGCCUGUAUCCCUCCAGACAGCCCAUCAGCCUGUAUCCCUCCAGACAGCCCAUCAGCCUGUAUCCCUCCAGACAGCCCAUCAGCCUGUAUCCCUCCAGACAGCCCAUCAGCCUGUAUCCCUCCAGACAGCCCAUCAGCCUGUAUCCCUCCAGACAGCCCAUCAGCCUGUAUCCCUCCAGACAGCCCAUCAGCCUGUAUCCCUCCAGACAGCCCAUCAGCCUGUAUCCCUCCAGACAGCCCAUCAGCCUGUUUCUCCACAGCCAGCCCAUCAGCCUGUAUCUCCACAGCCAGCCCACCAGCCUGUAUCCCUCCAGACAGCCCACCAGCCUGUAUCCCUUCAGACAGCCCAUCAGCCUGUAUCCCUCCAGACAGCCCAUCAGCCAGGAUCCCCCCCCCAGCCAGCCCCACAGCUUGUAUCCCCACAGCCAGCCACCCAACCCUGUAUCCCCACAGCCAACUCCCAAGCCUCCCAGCCUGUAUCCCCCUCAGCCAGCCCGUCAGCCUGUAUCCCCCUCAGCCAGCCCGUCAGCCUGUAUCCCCCCAGCCAGCCCGUCAGCCUGUAUCCCCCUCAGCCAGCCCGUCAGCCUGUAUCCCCCUCAGCCAGCCCGUCAGCCUGUAUCCCCCUCAGCCAGCCCGUCAGCCUGUAUCCCCCUCAGCCAGCCCGUCAGCCUGUAUCCCCCUCAGCCAGCCCGUCAGCCUGUAUCCCCACAGCCAGCCAGCCCGUCAGCCUGUAUCCCCACAGCCAGCCAGCCCGUCAGCCUGUAUCCCCUCAGCCAGCCCGUCAGCCUGUAUCCCCCCCAGCCAGCCCGUCAGCCUGUAUCCCCACAGCCAGCCAGACCAUCAGCCUGUAUCCCCACAGCCAGCCAGCCUAGAUCUCUACAGUGUUUGCGCCUGAUUCCACUAUGUGUUUAA